rnacentral:lncRNA from 1 species
CGUAAAUGCUUUUUUUUUUCUCUUUUCUUUCCCUUAUCUUUUCAUAUCGUCCCAAUUAUUUUUCAUCUCAUUCAAUUUUACCAAAUGGGGCCGGCGUCUUCGUUCGUUCCUACUGCGUUCGUGCCAUUCUCUCCCGAAAAACACUUUCUUCAAUCAGUCAUCAGCCGCCUCCGAGUCUUCGCCGUUUAUCUGCAGUCUCUGAUGUUGAACUUUUCAAUCGCGGCUGCCCUAGAUGCAAGUCACGAUUCACGCAGCAGCAACACCUUUGGGCUUCGAAAUAGAGCCCUUGAAGCAACCGACAGUAGACUGCGAACCUGAGAUAGUGGGACCUUGAGGGCUAAGUCUUCUUGACCUUCGAUUCGCGACGCUAGCACCAGCACGGCAGCACAGCAGAAACUGCAGAAGGAGAAGGUGAGCCUCCUGAUUUUGAUUCCUAAACUCUACCCCUACAAUCAAGUUUUUCUUAAAUUUUUAUCUAUAGUUGAAUAUUGACAGUUAUUUACUUAUUAAUUGUUUGUUUUUAACAUAUGAAAUUACUUUUGAAUUGCUAUUGGAUGGAUUGAAGUCUUGAAUUGCUUUUGAUUUUUGAAUGCUCUUGAAAUUAGACCUAGGAGCUUGAAAUUGAUUUUUCGAAUGCUCUUGGAAUUGAUUUUUGAAUGCUCUUGAAAUCUCAGAUUUAUAAAUCUUAGAUUUUCUUGGACACAAUUUUUUUUAUCGGUAUUUUUUUCUUGGACACAAUUAAUUGCACUCAAGGUUGUGAAAAAGUUGCUUCUGCUAAUAGAAAUACAAAUAAUCAUGUCUCUAUUGCUAAAUAGAUGAAAACAAGAGUGUUGAGGACUGGUGGAACUGUUCUUCACUGGACUUCUCAAUCUGCUACUGGGAGAGUGGUAAUUUAUUACAAGAUAUCAUUACUCGAUGAAUUACUCAGUGUUGAUUUUGUACAUAUAGAUGUAGUAGUCUGUGAAUGUAAUUUUCGUAGAAAUUGGUUGAAGUUACACUUGUCAACAUUAUAGUUGUAUAGAAAGUGAAAAUGACAAAUCGUUGUUGAGUCUCGAGAGGAGAAAGUAUUUAGAACUGGGUUACUUUUGGGUUCGUGUAAUACAUUCAUAUUAGGUAGAAGUUGAAAUCUAGGAGCAAUAUUUAUUGGAUUCUAGAACUUGGAUCCUUUGAGCAGGUAUUUUUGUGUAGGUUCAUCUUUUUAGCAAGAUUAGGGGCUGUUUAUUGGGGGAACAAGUGGGGCAUGAGUUUUUAUUGCUAAAGUGUAAGUACAUUUCACCCUUAAAAAAAGAAAUCCAUAACUUUUUUCUUCAUACAAGUUCAAUGGAAAAUUAGUAGUUCUUUCUCUCCCUCAGUAAAGAAGUUGCUAUUUUUUUACUAAGGUCUACAAUUAUAUCUCGACCUGUUUUUUGGCCCUUCUGAACUGCGAUCUUAGGUCUUAUGAUAGGCUAAUAGUCUGAUUAAUGUUUCAUUGGAGUUCGCUUUUAUGUAUGUUACAUACUGAUCAGUGUAGUUGUUGAAGCUUAAUUGUAAAUUGAGAGUGAAUAUAAAACAUAAAGAAACAGUGGACAACAAUUUGUGCACCAAAUUAAGUACUAUGAGUUUCAGUGGAUGUUUGUUCGAUUAUUUGGGCUGUCAAAGGUGUUUUCAACAAAACUGACACCUCUUAUUUGAAUCAGUAGGUAACUUCAUCAAUUCAUGCUUUCAGCUCAUAGAAUUUCUAUUGCAGAGUUAAUAGUCAUUGAAAAUUUUUUGGAGAUCUCUCUUUUGCAUCUCUGAACUAUUUGACAUGUACUUUUAAUUGAAAGAGUGUGAUAAGAUUAUAUUAAUAUCUCGAGUAAAAAAAUAGAACCAUGCUAAUUGGUCAUUAAAAUAUUAAUUAUGAAUUUUUAUUAGUGUUACGAGGUAAUAAAAUUGAUGUCACCUUCAAGACGAUCUUUUUAGUGAACUUUAUGCAAAGCUCUGGUAGGAUAAUAUGGGCAGGAUAGAGUGAUGAUGAAAAUGACAGAAAAUUAUUGACGACAAUAUGUUCUUGCCGAGUAAGGGAAGAUUAAUUGUUUAGAGCAAGAUAAAACAAGGAAAGAAGAUUAGCGCAUGUUCUUGGUGCUGAUAAAUAGUCUUCAAGAACAAAGAAUCAUGACUUUUCUUAUUUCUGAGGGUCCAGUGGUAGGGUUAUAAAGAAUAGAUCCUUGGACUUGAUAAUUGAAUGUGCUAGGAAUCUGAAGAAGCUGUUCCCAAAGUGUGGGGAAACAGUUUCAAGGAGAUGAAUACCAAAGAAAGAAUACGAUACAAAGAAACUAUGAACCACAUCGAUUACUCACUGUGGAGAACACGUUAUGAAUUUCAUUUCUUGAGUUAGAUAGGCUUCAAAAGAAUUUAAAAUAUCUUUGUUGAACUGUGAAAGAAAUUAAACUCAAACUCUGAAAGAGAUUCAGAGACGGAAUCAUUCACCAAUGCCCUAUUCCCCCUACAAUCUUUUGGGAAAAUGAAAUGUCAUGUAAUGGCCUGGAGAAAAUUGUAAUAUUCUUCUUUCUAAAAACAAAUAUGGCCCUUUCUAUAUGAUUUUUACAGUUUUAGCUUAUGUUAGCAUGGAAUUCAUUGGGAGAGUUUCAUCUUUCAUUGAGUUGCAAUGCCUUGUGUUACGAUUGAAAUUUUGUUUGUUUCUCUUCUCUCCGUAUUCUUAGCCAAUUGUAGUUUUACUCUAUUUUGUAGGAUUAUAUCUCCAUGCUGUAAGUGAGACAAAGUUAGUGGUAGACACAUCAAGUGGAGAAAGACUUCGGAUAAAUGUAGAAUCCAUUUCUUGUAAUUACUAUUUUUUGACAUCACACAGCUGAAAAUUAUUGUAUUCUGAAUUUCAGUAAUCUCUCCUUUUCAUUGCCCUACUCUCUUUAAGUAUGUGUCGGACCUCUUCGAUUUUUAUUUCCUUCAUGUGCGUAACAUUUGUUACCCGAUUAUUACAAUUAAGUACCUCGUCUUUGGCUCAUUUAUGGCGUUGAAUUUAUAUUUUUUUUUUGAAUAAAUCAGUGAAG